CAGAGGGAGACCUGUUAAUGUUUUCCUGCGAUUGUGGACUUGCCCCUUCCUCCUCUAAGUUCCCACUGUGUCUCACCUGUCACCCAUGGCACCUGCUGCAGCGGAUGUUAUGGCUGAAGCUCACCCCUGGACGCCCGGUCACAUUCUGAGCACACCCCUCCUGGCCGUGUGGAUGUGGGCAGACCACGUGGCUUCCGAACUCAGCGUCCUCACCUGCAGAACUGUCAUCGUAGAACGGCUUCCCUUUAGGGUCAUCUUGGAUGUUAAAUGCAGAAUCCGCCCAAGGCCCUCAGGACACGCGUGUCGCAGUGAGCACGCCACAGCUGGGAGACGGGUGCAGUUGGUACCCGUGUGCAGCUCACCGCAGAAUUCUGGGCAGCCAAGGGCAGGAAGGCUUGGCAACGUCAAGCAAUGGGCUUUGCCCAAAACCACUUAAAGAGCUCAGGCACACUGAGGCCAGCCUUUGUGAUGCUUCUUGGACUUUAAGUCUGUCAUUCGAAUAUCCGUUCAUCCCAAUGUAGGAUUCAUCCAAUUUGGGCAGGGCCUCUUCCCUCCAGCUCUGCCCUGAGCAUCCUUGGAAUGAAGUUCUUGGGGGUGGGUCGACGUGCUGAGCUCCAGCUGCUGAUGUCCCAGCUCUGCCUCAGUUGUCCCGGGUGGAUGAACACGGAAGCUGAUACAUCUUGUCGGGAAGAGGAAGCCUUCCGUGAGCGGACGCGGAGUUUGGGUCGACGUCCCUCGGAUCCACGCGGGGCCCUCCACAGCCCCCUGCUCUGCGGAAGCACCAGCAUCCUCUUUGUCUGACACCACUUUUUCGGAGUCAUGGAAAUAUUUAUAGGGAUUGCACAGGAGUGUUGCUUAGAAUGUGACUUGUCCUAAUUAUCCGGACUGUGGAAUCUGAGUAGGGAUGUGAGGAUGUUCAUGUCCAGAUGGUGACUCCCAAGCCCAGGAAAACACAAUACUGAUGGCAUUGACCGCAGAAAAGUAACUGAGAACUAUCCUUCUUAGACACCAUUAAGAAAAAAAAAAAUAAGAAAACUUAAGAAAUUAAUUGCGUCAAUGCUUGGUAUUAGAUAUGUUGGUUUUGGUUUGUUUUUAAAGAGCUUUGGAGUCGAACUGCAUCCUAAUUUUCCAUAUUAGCUUAUCCCCCGACAUGCAGAGGGAGUGCAAGAUCACUGGCGAUAGAUUCUGCUGGUACUGGCUAACGGGGUCUCCACGUUUGCACAGCCCCUCCCUAAGCACUCUCACCUGCCUGCUCCAAGGCACAGAUUUCAGCCUGUUCCUCGAGGCUGUUUGUGGCGGCACAGAGCAGGUGCUGAACCAGUGUGUGGCGCAGGGCUGCCUGUCGUCCCAGUUCUUUUGCUCACCUGCGCCAAUUUCUCUGUUUGGUGCAAUUUCCCUCCCAAAGGUAUUUUGAACAUUUUCAAGUUGUUGUUGUUUUUUUGUUGUUAUCAAUGUACAUUACAUGCAUGGAUUAAGUGAUUCUGUUUGAACAACAUAUUAUAAAUUUUACUCUCUCAUAGAAGAAUACUUUGAAA